AAGGGCUCCCCAGCUCAGUCUGGGGGGAGGGUCAGGGUAGGGGCUGGGAACCCAAACACAUUUAAUGGAGUGGACUGCAAGUUACUAAAUUGAGCCCUGGGGUGGUGGUGGAGCUGUAGAAUCUCAGCAGGAAACCUUCAGUCAAACUGCCCCUCCUCCUCUCCCAGACUCAACAGAAAGCCAGGUCAAGAAAUUCCAGACAGUUCUGACGGCCCAGACGGUUUGAUGCCUCUGCGCUUCUGCCAAUGCUGUUCCCUGUGGAAUCCCUCUCCCUGCUGGCCCCCUGGUGAACAUCUGUCUCUUCUCCAUUUUCACUGCAAGUUUUACAUCCUCUAACAAUUCAUCUCUAAUUCCUCUUCACUUCCAGAUCCAGACUUUCCAGGACUGCCUGGAGCAACAUCUGUUCUUAUCCUCUAGUGGUUAGAAGAGGAGCUAAAAUGUGGGCUUGACCUUGCACUAAUCUUGUAGGCUCGCCCAGGCUGGGCCCUGUCACCCAGCAUACUCAGAGCUACUCACGGAAUGAAAAAUGCUGCUAAUAUCAGUCUGCUAAAAACAUCAUCAGGAAAUUAAAUCUGUGGCUUUAAAAAAAAUCCCACACUGAUUUUCUGGCACUGGUGUGUCUCCCAACUGGGAUCUCUCCUUCUGCCUGGGGGCCUCCUUCCAGCCUCCUCCCUCCUCUCUGGGCUCUCCCCUCUGCAGCCUCCCUGCCUCUCCUCCCUCCUUUCCUUAGUACCCUGCAGGGCCUGCUGGCUUUCUUCUCCCUGGGCUCCUCCCUGUGGCUUUAGGCUUCCCUUCCUGUCUCCAGGCUUCCAGCUUUUCCACAGCUCCACGGAAGCAUCUGUCUGUCUCUAUUUCACUUCCCAUCAGGGAAUCCUA